rnacentral:rRNA from 1 species
GACGAACGCUGGCGGCGUGCUUAACACAUGCAAGUCGAACGGCAAGGCCCUGCUUUUGUGGGGUGCUCGAGUGGCGAACGGGUGAGUAACACGUGAGUAACCUGCCCUUGACUUUGGGAUAACUUCAGGAAACUGGGGCUAAUACCGUAUAGGAUCUCCUGCUGCAUGGUGGGGGUUGGAAAGUUUCGGCUGUUGGGGAUGGACUCGCGGCUUAUCAGCUUGUUGGUGGGGUAGUGGCUUACCCAGGCUUUGACGGGUAGCCGGCCUGGGAGGGUGACCGGCCACAUUGGGACUGAGAUACGGACCAGACUCGUACGGGAGGCAGCAGUGGGGAAUAUUGCACAAUGGGCGGAAGCCUGAGGCAGCAACGCCGCGUGCGGGAUGACGGCCUUCGGGGUGUAAACCGCAGUCGCCUGUGACGAAGCGGGAGUGACGGUAAUGGGCAAAGAAGCACCGGCUAACUACGUG